rnacentral:tRNA from 1 species
CCUUCGAUAGCUCAGCUGGUAGAGCGGAGGACUGUAGUGCUUUCAAGUAUGGACAUCCUUAGGUCGCUGGUUUGACUCCGGCUCGAAGGA